rnacentral:lncRNA from 1 species
ACUAUUUAGUCGGCUAUUAAAUGCCCCGACCAUUAAGAUUUAAAAACAAAAAUCAAACAAAACUAAACAGCCUUAUUGAUAACAAAAUAAUUUACGAAAAAAACUUGACCGACAUGAAUUAUGAACAACAACCACUGUACUACAUGUUCCUGGCUUUAGAAUGGACAUUGGCACAUAAACAAUGUGGUGGCCAUAAACCCAACCCUCCCAAAUGAACCAAACCAUAAGGACAACACAUCGCAAGAAAAAAACUGUAAAAUAUCAGUUGCAAUUCGCGUCCCUAAAAAUAUGGGUAAGGUGCACAAUAAUCACUUACAUAAAAACAAUAGACACAAA